GGCGGCGGUCGGGUGAGUAACACGUGGGCAACCUGCCUGUAAGACUGGGAUAACUUCGGGAAACCGAAGCUAAUACCGGAUAGGAUCUUCUCCUUCAUGGGAGAUGAUUGAAAGAUGGUUUCGGCUAUCACUUACAGAUGGGCCCGCGGUGCAUUAGCUAGUUGGUGAGGUAACGGCUCACCAAGGCAACGAUGCAUAGCCGACCUGAGAGGGUGAUCGGCCACACUGGGACUGAGACACGGCCCAGACUCCUACGGGAGGCAGCAGUAGGGAAUCUUCCGCAAUGGACGAAAGUCUGACGGAGCAACGCCGCGUGAGUGAUGAAGGCUUUCGGGUCGUAAAACUCUGUUGUUAGGGAAGAACAAGUACGAGAGUAACUGCUCGUACCUUGACGGUACCUAACCAGAAAGCCACGGCUAACUACGUGCCAGCAGCCGCGGUAAUACGUAGGUGGCAAGCGUUAUCCGGAAUUAUUGGGCGUAAAGCGCGCGCAGGCGGUUUCUUAAGUCUGAUGUGAAAGCCCACGGCUCAACCGUGGAGGGUCAUUGGAAACUGGGGAACUUGAGUGCAGAAGAGAAAAGCGGAAUUCCACGUGUAGCGGUGAAAUGCGUAGAGAUGUGGGAGGAACACCAGUGGCGAAAGGCGGCUUUUUGGUCUGUAACUGACGCUGA
rnacentral:rRNA from 1 species